UACGUAGGGUGCGAGCGUUGUCCGGAAUUAUUGGGCGUAAAGAGCUCGUAGGCGGUGUGUCACGUCGGCCGUGAAAACCUGCAGCUUAACUGUGGGCGUGCGGUCGAUACGGGCAUCACUGGAGUUCGGCAGGGGAGACUGGAAUUCCAGGUGUAGCGGUGAAAUGCGUAGAUAUCUGGAGGAACACCGGUGGCGAAGGCGGCAUCCUGGACCAACACUGACGCUGAGGAGCGAAAGCCAGGGGAGCAAACGGG
rnacentral:rRNA from 1 species